ACUGUAAUAGCUUAAUUUAGAGUACAAUAUUGAAGAUGUUGGGGUGAUAGAUAUCUUACAGUA
rnacentral:tRNA from 1 species